UGCGAAAUACCCCUGGUGCUCUACAACAG
rnacentral:sRNA from 1 species